GGGGAAUCUUGCACAAUGGGGGCAACCCUGAUGCAGCGACGCCGCGUGAGCGAUGAAGCCCUUCGGGGCGUAAAGCUCUUUCGACCGGAACGAUAAUGACGGUACCGUAAGAAGAAGCACCGGCUAACUACGUGCCAGCAGCCGCGGUAAUACGUAGGGUGCGAGCGUUAAUCGGAAUUACUGGGCGUAAAGCGUGCGCAGGCGGUUUUGUAAGACAGAUGUGAAAUCCCCGGGCUUAACCUGGGAACUGCGUUUGUGGCUGCAAGGCUGGAGUACGGCAGAGNGGGGUGGAAUUCCACGUGUAGCAGUGAAGUGCGUAGAGAUGUGGAGGAACACCGAUGGCGAAGGCAGCCCCCUGGGCCUGUACUGACGCUCAUGCACGAAAGCGUGGGGAGCAAACA
rnacentral:rRNA from 1 species